GACGAACGCUGGCGGCGUGCUUAACACAUGCAAGUCGAACGGAAAGGCCCUGCUUUUGUGGGGUGCUCGAGUGGCGAACGGGUGAGUAACACGUGAGUAACCUGCCCUUGACUUUGGGAUAACUUCAGGAAACUGGGGCUAAUAUCGGAGAGGAGCUCCUGCUGCAUGGUGGGGGUUGGAAAGUUUCGGCGGUUGUGGAUGGACUCGCGGGUUAUCCGCUUGUUGGUGGGGUAGUGGCUUACCAAGGCUUUGACGGGUAGCCGGCCUGAGAGGGUGACCGGCCACAUUGGGACUGAGAUACGGCCCAGACUCCUACGGGAGGCAGCAGUGGGGAGUAUUGCACAGUGGGCGGAAGCCUGAUGCAGCAACGCCGCGUGCGGGAUGACGGCCUUCGGGUUGUAAACCGCUUUCGCCUGUGACGAAGCGUGAGUGACGGUAAUGGGUAAAGAAGCACCGGCUAACUACGUG
rnacentral:rRNA from 1 species